GUGAAUGGCAGAAUUCAGUGAAUCAUCGAAUCUUUGAACGCACCUUGCCGCUCCUWGGUAUUCCGAGGAGCAUGCCUGUUUGAGUGUCCUCAAUAUAUAUCAUCCUCUCUUGUCUUGAGUGGUCUUGGAUCGUGGGGGUUAUGCUGGGCCUUGUUACAGGGUUCAGCUCUCCUGAAWUGCAUKACCRGAACAACCYUGUCCAUUGGUGUGAUAACUAUCWACGCUAUUGAAUGUSAGGGAAGUUCACGCUCUUCUAAACAGUCCUUUGAAGGACAUGCUUAGUCAUUCUAUGUGAUCCUCGUAAUGCGAGUGUACGGAACUACCCGCUGAACUUUAAGCAUAUCGAURAACGGAG
rnacentral:misc_RNA from 1 species